rnacentral:rRNA from 1 species
GACGUAGGGGGCGAGCGUUGUCCGGAUUUAUUGGGCGUAAAGAGCGCGUAGGCGGCCCGGAAAGUCGGAUGUGAAAACCCGGGGCUCAACCCCGGGCCUGCAUCCGAUACUCCCGGGCUGGAGGCAGGUAGGGGAGAUCGGAAUUCCUGGUGUAGCGGUGAAAUGCACAGAUAUCAGGAGGAACACCGGUGGCGAAGGCGGAUCUCUGGGCCCGUCCUGACGCUGAGGCGCGAAAGCUAGGGGAGCGAACAGG